CCCUUAGAUGUCCUGGGCCGCACGCGCGCUACACUGAGUGUCUGAGAUACGAGUCUGCCUAGCCGGCGAGGUCUAGGUAAUCGCUGAAAGACACAUCAUGCUUGGGAUAGAUUAUUGCAGAUAUUAAUCUUGAACGAGGAAUUCCUAGUAAGCGCAAGUCAACAGCUUGCGUUGAUUACGUCCCUGCCCUUUGUACACACCGCCCGUCGCUACUACUGAUUGGAUGUUUAAGCGAGGUUCUCGAACUGCUAGCGACUUAGCUUCGGUGAGGUCGCAGUGUGGGAAGUGAACCUAGCUUUGGUGUCUAGAGGAAGUAAAAGUCGUAACA
rnacentral:rRNA from 1 species